rnacentral:rRNA from 1 species
AUGAACGCUGGCGGCGUGCCUAAUACAUGCAAGUCGAGCGAACGGACGAGAAGCUUGCUUCUCUGAUGUUAGCGGCGGACGGGUGAGUAACACGUGGAUAACCUUCCUAUAAGACUGGGAUAACUUCGGGAAACCGGAGCUAAUACCGGAUGAUAUUUUGAACCGCAUGGUUCAAAAGUGAAAGACGGUCUUGCUGUCACUUAUAGAUGGAUCCGCGCUGCAUUAGCUAGUUGGUAAGGUAACGGCUUACCAAGGCAACGAUGCAUAGCCGACCUGAGAGGGUGAUCGGCCACACUGGAACUGAGACACGGUCCAGACUCCUACGGGAGGCAGCAGUAGGGAAUCUUCCGCAAUGGGCGAAAGCCUGACGGAGCAACGCCGCGUGAGUGAUGAAGGUCUUCGGAUCGUAAAACUCUGUUAUUAGGGAAGAACAUAUGUGUAAGUAACUGUGCACAUCUUGACGGUACCUAAUCAGAAAGCCACGGCUAACUACGUG